rnacentral:rRNA from 1 species
AAUUUGCAGAGGGCGCUUUGGUGUCGGCUUNNGUCCAAGUUCCUUGGAACAGGACGCANCAGAGGGUGAGAAUCCCGUACGUGGUCGCUGACCUACACCGUGUAAAGCCCCUUCGACGAGUCGAGUUGUUUGGGAAUGCAGCUCUAAAUGGGAGGUAAAUUUCUUCUAAAGCUAAAUACUGGCCAGAGACCGAUAGCGCACAAGUAGAGUGAUCGAAAGAUGAAAAGCACUUUGGAAAGAGAGUCAAACAGCACGUGAAAUUGUUGAAAGGGAAGCGCUUGCAGCCAGACUUGCUUGUAGUUGCUCAUCCGGGCUUUUGCCCGGUGCACUCUUCUGCGAGCAGGCCAGCAUCAGUUUGGACGGUUGGAUAAAGGCCUCUGUCACGUACCUUCUCUCGGGAAGGCCUUAUAGGGGAGGCGUCAUGCAACCAGUCUGGACUGAGGUCCGCGCAUCUGCUAGGAUGCUGGCGUAAUGGCUGUAAGCGGCCCGUCUUGAAACACGGACCA